rnacentral:rRNA from 1 species
UACGUAGGGGGCUAGCGUUGUCCGGAAUCAUUGGGCGUAAAGCGCGCGUAGGCGGCCCGGUAAGUCCGCUGUGAAAGUCAAAGGCUCAACCUUUGAAUGUCAGCGGAUACUGCCGGGCUAGAGUCCGGAAGAGGCGAGUGGAACUCCUGGUGUAGCGGUGGAAUGCGCAGAUAUCAGGAAGAACACCAACGGCGAAGGCAGCUCGCUGGGACGGAACUGACGCUGAGGCGCGAAAGCUAGGGGAGCAAACGGG